rnacentral:tRNA from 1 species
GGGAUCAUGGCGCAACUGGUAGCGCACCUGCCUUGCAUGCAGGGGGUUGGGAGUUCGAGUCUCCCUGGUUCCA